rnacentral:rRNA from 1 species
UGGGGAAUAUUGGACAAUGGGCGCAAGCCUGAUCCAGCCAUCCCGCGUGAGUGAUGAAGGCCCUCGGGUCGUAAAGCUCUGUGGAGAGGGACGAAAGCCCGGUAGUUAAUACCUGCCGGAGUGACGGUACCUCUUUAGCAAGCACCGGCUAACUCCGUGCCAGCAGCCGCGGUAAUACGGAGGGUGCAAACGUUGCUCGGAAUUACUGGGCGUAAAGCGCUCGUAGGCGGCUUUGUAAGUCGGAUGUGAAAGCCCUAGGCUUAACCAAGGAACUGCAUUCGAAACUGCAUGGCUUGAGUAUGGGAGAGGGUUGUGGAAUUCCCGGUGUAGAGGUGAAAUUCGUAGAUAUCGGGAGGAACACCAGUGGCGAAGGCGACAACCUGGACCAAUACUGACGCUGAGGAGCGAAAGCGUGGGGAGCAAACAGGAUUAGAUACCCCCGUAGUCC